AGUGCAGGGAAACUGCAAGAGGAACGCGAAGGGGCACGUGGAGACACAAAUACCCCGACAACAAUCACGAGUUCUGCCAGCACUGGAAUAUUCUCCAUUUGUGACCGAUACACAGGGGUCACAAGAGGCUCGGCAGGGAUUGAUAUACCAGUCGCUGACACGGUGACUAUUUUGACAAGAGGUAUAUGUAAAGUGCCUCUUGAUGCCUAUGGUCCUAUAGGCCAAUGUUUGAGUGCUUUUCUGAUGGGAAGAUCUAGUAGCACUAUUCAAGAACUGACCUUGACAAGGAGGCUUGGAUGGGCCUGAUAUCAUCUUGAAUGAGAAUUGCUGCCAGGCAACCUAUCAUUCCUCUCCAGGAAAAGCCUGAUCUCCUAGGGAGUAUGGACCCAUCCUAGAAAGAUCUGGUGAAAAGCCAAGAAUCCCAUUUUGUAUGGAUGCUGCUGACAGAGAGGAGCAAGAGAAAG